CCGGCGCACGGGUGAGUAUCGCGUAUCCAACCUUCCCUCCACUCGGGGAUACCCCGUUGAAAGGCGGCCUAAUACCCGAUGUUGUCCACAUAUGGCAUCUGACGUGGACCAAAGAUUCAUCGGUGGAGGAUGGGGAUGCGUCUGAUUAGCUUGUUGGUGCGGGUAACGGCCCACCAAGGCGACGAUCAGUAGGGGUUCUGAGAGGAAGGUCCCCCACAUUGGAACUGAGACACGGUCCAAACUCCUACGGGAGGCAGCAGUGAGGAAUAUUGGUCAAUGGACGUAAGUCUGAACCAGCCAAGUAGCGUGCAGGAUUGACGGCCCUAUGGGUUGUAAACUGCUUUUGUUGGGGAGUAAAGUGAGGCACGCGUGCCUUUUUGCAUUACCCUCGAAUAAGACCGCA
rnacentral:rRNA from 1 species